UAACCCCAAAAUCACCCUAAAACCACCAUAAACUAACCUAAAACUACCCUAAAUCCACCCCAAAAGACCCCAAAAAGACCCUAAAACCACCCUAAAUCCACCCCAGAAGACCCCAAAUUGACCCUAAAUCCAGCCCAAAAUGACCCAAAAUCCCCCAAAUCCACCCCAAAAUGUGUUUCAGGUUCUGGGUGCCCCCACGAUGCAGGAGAGCUACGAGGCGCUGAUCCUAAUGGAGUUCCCUGUCCCUAAACCCAUCGUGGUGUCGAGGCUGGAGCUGGACGAGGAGCUGGGGGGAAACGAGGGCAAAGAGUGGGAGACCCUCAGGGUGGCUCUCUAUAGGCAGUCUCUAUGGUCCCGUAUGGGGUCUCUAUGGGGUCUCUAUAGGGGGUCUCUAUGGGGCAGUGGGUCUCUAUAGGGGGUCUCUAUGGGGUCCCUAUGGGGUCUCUAUGGGGUUUUUGGCCCUAAUUAAGUCCCGCCCUUAAUGACCUUUCGUCCUUAAUGAGUUGCCCCAGUGGGGCCCCAUUGGGGCGCUGACCUAUAGGGCGGGAUGUGGGGCAGCCCCACCGCUUCCAGGAAUGGGGGGAGGGGGGUCAUUGCACAACACAGCCCCAUAGGACCGACCCCAUAGAUCCCCGCCCCAUAGCAGCCCAGCCCCAUAGAGCCCAGCCCCAUAGGGACUGACCCCAUAGAGCCCAGCCCCACAGAUCCACAGCCCCAUAGAUCCAGCCCCAUUAGAGCCCAGCCCCACAGAUCCGAGCCCCAUAGAGCCCAGGCCCCAUAACGAUUCCAGCCCCAUAGAAUCCCAGCCCCACCAGAUCCCAGGCCCCAAUUGAAGGGGGGGAAAAAAAAAAAAAAAAAAAAAAAAAAGGCCCCCCCAAAAAAGGGGCGGCCCCCCCCCGAACAGGGAAAAAAGCGAAUUUUUUCUUUCCCCCCCCCAAAAAAAGGGGGGCCCCCCCAUUUUAGGGAAAUCCCAAGGCCCCCCCCCCCCCAUUAGGGAAAUUUUCCCCCCCCAGCCCC
rnacentral:lncRNA from 1 species